AGCGAACGCUGGCGGCAGGCCUAACACAUGCAAGUCGAACGAACCCUUCGGGGUUAGUGGCGGACGGGUGAGUAACACGUGGGGACGUGCCUUUAGGUUCGGAAUAACUCAGGGAAACUUGUGCUAAUACCGAAUGUGCCCUUCGGGGGAAAGAUUUAUCGCCUUUAGAGCGGCCCGCGUCUGAUUAGCUAGUUGGUGAGGUAAUGGCUCACCAAGGCUACGAGCAGUAGCUGGUCUGAGAGGAUGACCAGCCACAUUGGGACUGAGACACGGCCCAAACUACUACGGGAGGCAGCAGUGGGGAAUCUUGCGCAAUGGGCGAAAGCCUGACGCAGCCAUGCCGCGUGGAUGAUGAAGGUCUUAGGAUUGUAAAAUCCUUUCACCGGUGAAGAUAAUGACUGUAGCCGGAGAAGAAGCCCCGGCUAACUUCGUGCCAGCCGCCGCCGUAACAC
rnacentral:rRNA from 1 species